GAUGAACGCUGGCGGCGUGCCUAAUACAUGCAAGUCGAGCGAACGGACGAGAAGCUUGCUUCUCUGAUGUUAGCGGCGGACGGGUGAGUAACACGUGGAUAACCUACCUAUAAGACUGGGAUAACUUCGGGAAACCGGAGCUAAUACCGGAUAAUAUUUUGAACCGCAGGGUUCAAAAGUGAAAGACGGUCUUGCUGUCACUUAUAGAUGGGUCCGCGCUGCAUUAGCUAGUUGGUAAGGUAACGGCUUACCAAGGCAACGAUGCAUAGCCGACCUGAGAGGGUGAUCGGCCACACUGGAACUGAGACACGGUCCAGACUCCUACGGGAGGCAGCAGUAGGGAAUCUUCCGCAAUGGGCGAAAGCCUGACGGAGCCACGCCGCGUGAGUGAUGAAGGUCUUCGGAUCGUAAAACUCUGUUAUUAGGGAAGAACAUAUGUGUAAGUAACUGUGCACAUCUUGACGGUACCUAAUCAGAAAGCCACGGCUAACUACGUG
rnacentral:rRNA from 1 species